rnacentral:rRNA from 1 species
CCUACGGGAGGCAGCAGUGAGGAAUAUUGGGCAAUGCCCGAAAGGGUGACCCAGCAACGCCGCGUGGAGGAUGAAGUCCUUCUGGACGUAAACUCCUUUUAGAGGGGACGAAAAGCCCGAUUUGUCGGGAAUUGACGGUACCCUCAGAAAAAGCACCGGCUAACUAUGUGCCAGCAGCCGCGGUAAUACGUAGGGUGCAAGCGUUGUCCGGAUUCACUGGGUGUAAAGGGUGCGCAGGCGGGCUCUUAAGUCAAAGGUAAAAUCUCUGGGCUUAACCGAGAAAUUGCCUUUGAUACUGAGAGCCUUGAGUACGGGAGAGGGAGAUGAAAUUCCGGGUGUAGCGGUAAAAUGCGUAGAGAUCAGGAGGAACACCGAGGGCGAAGGCAGCCCCCGGGGUUGACACUGACGCUCAGGCACGAAAGCGUGGGGAGCAAACGGGAUUAGAUACCCCUGUAGU